GACGGAGGGUGCAAGCGUUGUUCGGAAUCACUGGGCGUAAAGCGCGUGUAGGCUGUUCGAUAAGUCGAGUGUGAAAGCCCGAGGCUCAACCUCGGAAGUGCAUUCGAAACUGUCGGGCUUGAGUACGGGAGAGGGAAGUGGAAUUCCUGGUGUAGAGGUGAAAUUCGUAGAUAUCAGGAGGAACACCGGUGGCGAAGGCGGCUUCCUGGACCGAUACUGACGCUGAGACGCGAAAGCGUGGGGAGCAAACAGG
rnacentral:rRNA from 1 species